rnacentral:misc_RNA from 1 species
GAUGAAGAACGCAGCGAAAUGCGAUAAGUAAUGUGAAUUGCAGAAUUCCGUGAAUCAUCGAAUCUUUGAACGCAUAUUGCGCCCUCUGGUAUUCCGGGGGGCAUGCCUGUCCGAGCGUCAUUACUACCUUCAAGCACGGCUUGGCUGUUGAGUGUUCUGUUCGCGGAUGAACAGGGCUCGAAAUGCAGUGGCGAUGUCGAGAUGGUGCCCGAGUGUAUGGGGCUCUGUCACACACUCUGGUGGCUCCAGCUUGCAUUCUGCCUAACUGGGUAUAAUAUCUAUUUGUACCAAAUCAAUCUGAUUGACCUCGGAUCAGGUAGGAAAACCCGCUGAACUUAAGCAUAUCAAUAAGCGGAGGA